CUCGUGCUCCCGGCCUUGUAGCGGUGCCGUGGCGGGGCGUGUAGGCGUUGACAUAACCCAACAUGGAGUUUGUGAUAAGCCUGCGAGCCUUCAACAACGUGGGUGAUGGGCAACCGGUGUACCAGCAAGUCCGCACCCAGCCAGAGGAGGAGGAGGUGGUGGCACCCACGCUGGACCCGGCGGUGUGGGUGAAGGCCGUGGUGCUGACGCCCUUCACCGUGGUGCUGCAGUGGGCAGACACCAUGCUGAGCCAGAACCAGCUGCACCACCUUCUCGUCCUCAUCCUCCAGCCGCUACGUCAACGCCACGGAUGUGACCUGCCUCAUUGACAGCCUCAAGCCAUCAACAGUGUGUGAGUUUGCUGUGAAGACCAUCAGGG